CCUACGGGAGGCAGCAGUGAGGAAUAUUGGUCAAUGGGCGCGAGCCUGAACCAGCAACGUCGCGUGAAGGAUGACUGCCCUACGGUUUUUAACCUUCUUUUAUAGAGGAAUACAGUGAGGCACAUGUGCCUUUUUGUAUGUACUUUAUGACUAAGGAUCGGCUAACUCCGUGCGAGCAGCCGCGGUGAUACGGAGGUGUCGAGCGUUAUCCGGAUUUGUUGGGUGGAAAGGGAGCGUAGACGGGUUGUUAAGUAAGAUGUGAAAGUCUGCGGCUCAACCGUAAAAUUGCAAUUGAUACUGGUAGUCUUGAGUACAGUUGAGGUAGGCGGAAUUCGUGGUGUAGCGGUGAAAUGCUUAGAUAUCACGAAGAACUCCGAUUGCGAAGGCAGCUUACUAAACGGCCACUGACAGUGAGGCUCGAAAGUGUGGGUAUCAAACAGGAUUAGAUACCCGAGUAGUC
rnacentral:rRNA from 1 species